rnacentral:rRNA from 1 species
GUGCCAGCAGCCGCGGUAAUACGGAGGGUCCGAGCGUUAUCCGGAAUCAUUGGGUUUAAAGGGUCCGCAGGCGGUCAAUUAAGUCAGAGGUGAAAUCCCAUAGCUCAACUAUGGAACUGCCUUUGAUACUGGUUGACUUGAGUCAUAUGGAAGUAGAUAGAAUGUGUAGUGUAGCGGUGAAAUGCAUAGAUAUUACACAGAAUACCGAUUGCGAAGGCAGUCUACUACGUAUGUACUGACGCUGAGGGACGAAAGCGUGGGGAGCGAACAGGAUUAGAUACCCUGGUAGUCCACGCCGUAAACGAUGGAUACUAGUUGUUGGGCAUUAGCUCAGUGACUAAGCGAAAGUGAUAAGUAUCCCACCUGGGGAGUACGGUCGCAAGACUGAAACUCAAAGGAAUUGACGGGGGCCCGCACAAGCGGUGGAGCAUGUGGUUUAAUUCGAUGAUACGCGAGGAACCUUACCAGGGCUUAAAUGUAGUCUGACAGCUUUAGAGAUAGAGUUUUCUUCGGACAGAUUACAAGGUGCUGCAUGGUUGUCGUCAGCUCGUGCCGUGAGGUGUCAGGUUAAGUCCUAUAACGAGCGCAACCCCUGUCAUUAGUUGCCAGCAUGUAAAGAUGGGGACUCUAAUGAGACUGCCUACGCAAGUAGUGAGGAAGGUGGGGAUGACGUCAAAUCAUCACGGCCCUUACGUCCUGGGCCACACACGUGCUACAAUGGUAUGGACA